rnacentral:rRNA from 1 species
GAAUAUUAAAUAUUAUAAUUAAGGAUUAAUCUCCUAUUUAAAUUUAAAAAAUUAAUAAUUAUUUAUAUCUUUAAUAUAAAAUUAUAUUUCGACCUACUUUAAAAUUAAUUAUGUUAAAAUUAGUAUAAAUUAUAUUAUUUAUUUAAAGAACUCGGCAUUCAUCUGUUUAUCAAAAACAUAGUCUUAUGAAAAUAUAAGGUGCAACCUGCCCACUGUUUAUAAAUGGCCGCAGUACUUUGACUGUGCUAAGGUAGCAUAAUAAAUUGACUCUUAAUUGGGGCCUUGAAUGAAAGGAAUUAUGGAUAAUUUCUGUUUCAAAUAAAUAAAUUUAAAAUUACUUAAAAGGUGAAAAUUCCUUUAAUAUAAUAAAAUAGACGAGAAGACCCUAGGAGUUAUUUUGUUGGGGCGACAAUAUAGCAUAACCUAUAUAUAAAAAACAACAAUAUAUAAUAAUAAUAAAAUAACUACCCUAGGGAUAACAGCAUAAUUUAUUCUUAAGUUUGUGACCUCGAUGUUGGACUAGGAACUUUUAAAGCUAACAGCGUUAA